CUGGUUUCUGUCUUCCUUUCUUUCCUUUUCGCUUGGCCUGUUUGGGAAUAAUAUUUCCGGAAUAUGUAACCUUAAUUAAAUAUUGGAAGCUCCUUUACAUAUAUUGAUCAUGUCGAGGAAGAAAGAAUGUCAAGAUUUCUCUCGUAAUGCCGACGACCCAACUGCCAGUCCCAACUCAGGCCCUGGUCUUAUUCCAGAUGUAAAAUUAUGAAGUCCACAUUAUUCAACAUUUGGAAAAUUUUUAUCUUCUUGGGGGCUAUCCAUAUAAAUAUUACGUCAUCAAAAAGUCACGAUUUUUGCACACACCAACCCAACGUAUCCACUAAUCCUAAGGGAUAGGGAAUUUUAGCAUAUCAAGGAUAAUAAGCCCUAAACCACCUACCCACUAAAAUGAUGACGUAAUACAUGGACGUUCCCUUGUAUAAUUCCACAUCUCUGCAAAUUCCUUGUAAUCAAAGACAUAAAAGAUUGUCGCCUAGUCUGCAAAUCUUGGAAUUAUGAAGCUACCCCCGUGCUAAAGGAGAGGACACUGAUCAACAUCCGACUCGAUGCAGGAACUUAUGGUAAAACACCCCCCAAGGAGUGGGAAUUGGAUGAAAGAAUUGCGGAAAAACUCAGCUUCAACACCAAUAUUAAAAUCUCCGCAAAUAAAUCCUUGUCACCACCCAAAAAUUUGCAAGACUUUCCCCCCAUCAGAAAUCUCAAAUCAAUUUUGGUCCAAAUUAAGAUAACGGAACAAUGGCAGAAGGACUUUUGUAACGAAAUUAUCCUCGGUUCGGCCCCCACUCUGGAAGAAUUGCAAUUGCAUUGCGAUCAAAAUUUCCCUUCUUUCAGUGCCACCGUUUUCCCAAGAUUGAAGAAACUCGUGAUCAAUGGUGGCCGGACUCGGGCGCAACUUGAUCCAGUGAUCGAAAGAAUUGGUCAAGCUGUUACGGAAGCGUUUCCAGCUUUGCAAUGUUUCACAAUUAAUUGUGAACAUUUGUAUGAAAUUUCAAAACUCGAACUACUACAACAUUUCCCAUUAUAUCUUUUUUCUCGGCGGCGCGCCGGCACUUAUGCGACGGCGGCGCGCCUCGGCGGCGGCGGCGUGUCAAAUCGGAUCGGCGUCGGCGGCGCGCCGGCGAAAAAUCGGCGGCGUGGAGCUCUGAAUUAUCAUGGAUGGGUGCUAAUUUAAUCACACCAUAUGAUCGCUGAGUUCCUUAGUUUUGCGAGGAUAUUUGGACUCCGAUCAAACCGGGUGUCUCUUGAAAAUUCCCUCUCCUCUCAAAAGACUUGACCUGAAGGCCUUCUAUCACAAAACUGGACAUCGUGCCCACGAACUGCCCUCCCUUCUACACAAAUUAUUACAGAAACAUUGCCUCACUCCGGAAAAACUUGAGUUACAUUUGGGCUCCAACGAUAAGAAGGUCGAGUGGAAAUUCCCAGCCCUUCCGGCCUUGAAGAAAUUCACAAUUUAUUUCUGCACAAUGUUUCAGAAAUUUGAGUUUGAAAGUGGUCUGGGAUCAGGAAAGAUUGAUUAUGCAGUGUGCUUCCCGGUCUUGCAGACUUUGCACAUUCAUAGCUUCGACUUCUCCACAUACUUCUUCUCUUCAUACGACUUCUCUUCUUUUAGCGCAUUUAUUCCGCCAGAAGAUGAGGAGCCAUGUCCGGUUGUGAAAUCGCUGAGAGAAUUUAAUAUCAACAUUUUCUGGUAUAAAGAAACAAACGAAUUAGCUCAAGCUGCCUUGUACCCACGAUUGGUGGACAUUUUUCCCUACGCAAAAAUAUGCAUUAAUAAUUAAUUAAAUCAUGAAAGAAAUGCAAUUUAGUACAUGUUUCUCUAUAUUUUUAUAUAAUAAAUGGAUGAAUCUUGAUAAGUUAUUAUUAAGCCUACUCCAUAAGUUAUUACGUACAGAUUUAC